rnacentral:rRNA from 1 species
GGGAAUUUUCCGCAAUGGGCGAAAGCCUGACGGAGCAAUACCGCGUGAGGGAUGACGGCCUAUGGGUUGUAAACCUCUUUUUUCAGGGAGGAAUAAAUGACGUGUACCUGAAGAAUAAGCAUCGGCUAACUCCGUGCCAGCAGCCGCGGUAAGACGGAGGAUGCAAGUGUUAUCCGGAAUCACUGGGCGUAAAGCGUCUGUAGGUGGUUUAAUAAGUCAACUGUUAAAUCUUGAGGCUCAACUUCAAAAUCGCAGUCGAAACUAUUAGACUAGAGUAUAGUAGAGGUAAAGGGAAUUUCCAGUGGAGCGGUGAAAUGCGUAGAUAUUGGAAAGAACACCGAUGGCGAAAGCACUUUACUGGGCUAUUACUAACACUCAGAGACGAAAGCUAGGGUAGCAAAUGGGAUUAGAUACCCCAGUAGUCA